GCGCCGCCGCCCGCCGGGGCGCCGCCCCACGCGUGGUCCCCCGGGCAGCGCGGCUGCCGGCGCGGAGGGGGCGGGGGCGGGGGCGGGCCGCCGGGGCAGGCGAGGCGGGGUCCGCUGCUCCCGGCGGGCCCCGCUGGCUGAGGGGGUCAGCACCAGGAACAGCUCCGAAGCCCCCUGCCCCUCCCCGCCUUCACCGUCUUCCCGAGGGGGCGGGGCGAAAGGGAGGGGGCGGGGCCCUUCUGUUGCCCUGGUUACCGGGGUACACAGGCCGGUGGCGGCGGCCGUUGUGCCCUCGCUCCUCCCCGUCCCCCCGCACUUCGCUCGACUCUCAGUUAAUAUAUGGCUUCACAAGAGGAAAAAACACCUCAGCCCUUUGCAGACAUCUUCAAUGAAGAUGAAGCUGAAAAAUCCUUUCUGUUAUCCAAGCCCACUUGCUUAAUUAUCCUUGGAAAGCCAGGUUCUGGAAAGAAAACCUUAGCUAGAAAACUAGCACAAAUAUGGAAAUGCAUUUUAAUAGAAGCUUUGGAAGUGAUUCAAACAAAUAUUCAGGAAGAAACAGAAUACGGGCUUAAGUGUCAAGAAUUGCUUUUUAAAGGUCAAAGUAUUUCUGAAGAACUGGUUACAGAAAUGAUUCUAAAGAAGAUUGAGUCACCAGAAGUUGCUCAUUAUGGUUAUGUUCUCAGUGGAUUUCCUUCUCUCUCAGAGGAAUACAUGACUGUUUCACAGCAAAUAGAGAAAAUAAAGAAUCUGAAAUUAAAACCGGAUCUCCUGAUUAACAUUAAGUGUUCAGACUAUGAUUUAUGCCAAAGAAUAUCCGGACAAAGGCAACACCCUGAUUCAGGGCACGUAUAUCAGAGGAACCAGUGGGAUCCUAACAUUAUGGAAAAGCAUAAGAAAGAGAAAGAUCAGCAUGAAGAAGAGAAUGAAGAAGAAGAAGAGCAGGAAGAAGAAGAGAUUGCAGAAGAUCCACUUAAGAUGUUAGAAUUUUUGCAUCAAUUAGUGCAGAGGCCUGAAGAUGUUCUUGAAAAUGCUGAGGAAAGAGUUGGAAUGUAUAAGGAUAUAAUGCUUCCUCAUUUAGAAGACUUGAUGGCUGAACAGGAUUGUCAAUAUCUUAUGGAACUGGAUGGAAAUCAGCAACCAGAUGAUCUCUUUAUAUCAGUGGUAGUUCGACUUCAAUCUCUGGGUGUUCGAAAUGCAGCUCCUAUAAUUAGACUUCAAAGCCAGCAAGAAGAAAUGCUGGAGGGACUGGAAAAUGAUGAACUUCUCCGGGUUCUGUCAUCUUACAAACUAAUAGCACACAGAUAUCGAUGGCGUAGAAGCAAGUGGGGGCAAGCAUGUCCUGUGGCCCUAAAGGAAGGUGAUAUUGUAAUGGGAAACCCAGACUUGGCUGUCAGUUUUCUAGGUAAAAUGUAUGUACUGUCAUCCCCAGAAGCAUUGAAAACGUUUAUGUUGAAUCCACGGCCUUACCUGUUGCCACCAAUGCCACUUCCUCCUUGUAAAGUACUAGUAUUUGGUCCUCCAUUCUCUGGAAGAACAACUCUUUGUAACCUAAUUGCACACAAAUAUAAAGGAAAGGUUCUUGAUAUGGCCAAACUCAUUCAACCCCAUAUGGAAGAAAUAAGAGAAGAAAACAUUGAGCAAGUGCGAAGAGAUACAGUAGAAAAGGCUAUAACAGCAGUGAAAAAUAGGUUGGAAUUAGAAAAACAGUCAAGCGAAUCAGGAGAUUUGCAAGAACAUAGUAGUGUCAAAGAAGCAGAUGAUUCCGAAGAAGCCACUAAAUCUGGAGAGGGAAUAAACUUGGAAGAGGGGAUUACAAUAAAACCUGCCAUCACCUCAGAAGAGAUAACUGCUGACCACCCAGAAGUUCAAGCGAUGGUAGAAGAAGCCAUAAAAAGUGCAUCAGUCUCAGAAGUUACACCGUCACCUGAAAUAUAUGCUGAAGUACUGGAGAGAGCUAUUGCAGAGCUUAUGAAGAAGAACAAAGACAGAUUUCCUGGUGCUCCAGAAAAAGGAGGAUGGGUAGUGGAUAAUUACCCUCUGUCAGUAGAUCACUGGUCAGCUUUAUCAGAAAAAGGACUUUUACCUGACACUGUUGUCUGUCUGAAGGAUACAGAAAAAGAUGGAGCCUGUAUACUACACAGAACAUACUUAGCAAAUAGGGAUGAAAUUAAUUCUAAGAUUUUGAAAAGACUAACAGAUGAAGCAUUAGAAAAGCAAGAAGAAUCAAGAAGAAAAAUGCAAGAAAUACUGACGUCAGAGGAAGAGCAAUCUCUAGAGGCUGCGGAGGAGAGAAAAUUUGAGGACAAUGAUGAGCAGCUUCCACCUGAAACUGAACAAAUGCCCGACAAACAGUCCAGUGACUCUGCGGGUUAUGAAGAAGAAUCUAAACCUCCAGAAGUCAUACUGCCUGAGUUUUCAGAGGAUGAUUUUCCAAAUAUACCAGAAAUGGAAAUAAUUAAAAGGAAGAUUGAGUUUUUCAUGCAUGACUGGCAAACAGUGGAGUCAGAAAUCAAGCAGUCAUCUCUAGCUCAGGUUGUUGUUUUAGAGAUUGCUGAGCAAACUCCAGAAAGUCUGCUUAAUCAAACCGUGCUGAUUAUGGAAAAAUCUUUUAAAUAUCAUGGUUGGGAAUUAUCUGCUGAAGACUUAGAUGAGGAAGCAGAAGAUCUGGCUGCUGAAGGGGACGAUGAAGAAGAAGAAGUUGAAGAAGAGGAAAAUGAAGAUGAAGAAGAUGAAGAAAAAACUAAGGAAAAGAAAAGGCACAUGGGAGACACAAAACACUUUUGUCCUGUCAGUCUGAAAGAGAGCUUUGUCCUUCACCCAGGACUCAAUGAACAUGCAGCUAAAUAUCAAGAAAAGAUUUAUUAUUUUUCAACUUCUGAGUACAAAGAUAAAUUUUUGAUGAACCCUGAGGAGUAUGUUGCUCACAAUGAACCAAUACAAGCUCCUCCUUUACGGGUGUGCUUACUUGGGACUCAUGGAGCAGGUAAAACUACUUGUGCACGACAGAUAGCAGACAAAUUAGGCAUUUUCCAUAUUCAGUUCGAAGAAUAUCUACAGGAAUUGAUCUUACCCAAAACUAAAGAGAAAAUUGGGCCCGAUUAUGAUGAAGAACCUGAAGAAGAUAACAGUAGAAUGCCAAUUCUAUCACAGGAACUGGACGACUUCUCUCAGAUCAUGACUAAUGUUGAGACUGAAAAAAGCAAACAGGAAGUGGAGUUAACUGAUGAGGAAGAAGCAAUCAAAGCAAAUCUAAUGGAUAAUGAGGCACUGCCUCCAGAAGUCCUUGAUAACAUUGUUCUUGACUGGUGGAAGAAAGAGCCAUUCCGGUCCACAGGAUUUAUACUGGAUGGUUUCCCUCGUAAUUUACAUGAAGCCCAGUAUUUGUCAGAACGAGGACUCUGUCCUGAUGUUGCGGUUUAUAUUCAAGUAGAAGAAAGUGACAUUCUUGACCGUCUUUUUCCUCCACGUCUGAAAAAGUGGAAAGAAAGACAGUAUAAAAGAAUGGAAAAUAAAAAGAAACUGAAAGACCUGAAAGCAGAAUUAAGGGAUGAGAGGAUUGCUAGAAGAAGGGAAGAACUUUUAGCAGAACGAAAACAAAAGAAACAGGAGGCUUUAGCAAAUAAGGAGCAUUAUGAAGCUAUGGAGGAGGAAGAUGAGAAUGAAAAUGAAGAUUUUGAAGCUAUACUUGAAGAUGAGUUUGUAGAAGAAGAAGAAGAGGCUGAAGAAGAACAGGAGAUCGAUGCUGUUGACCGCAUAAAAAAUGAAAUUGCAGAAAAGUUUGAUUUAGAAAUAGAUGGUUUACAAGGUGUAGAGGAAGAACUUGAAAAAUUGUUAAUUCCACAAAUCAAGAUCAAUGGAGGACGGAAGCCUCACAUCGUACGCUACCAAAUAUAUAGCAAGCUGAAUUCUCUAAUGGAAAAUCGUGAAAGCAUUUUCGAGAAAUGUUACCCGAUAAGUUUGCCACUGGCACAAAAGAUGCUAGUCUUCUCCUAUAAAUUUCCAAGUUCUUUUGGUCAGUGGGAUCCAAUCAAGCUAAGUGAAGGAGAUGUAAUCAAGCCACAACAAAGCCAUGAAAACACAGUCUUUCCUGUAAUCCAUCGACAAUAUAUUUAUUUCUUUUCAAGUAAAGAAAAUAAAGAAACAUUUAUGAAAAAUCCCUUCAAAUAUAUUCGUCAGCCAAAACCUAAACCAGCUGUGCCAGUUAAGAUUGCAAUAGUGGGACCUCCAAAAUCUGGAAAGACUACAGUUGCCAAGAAAUUUGCAAGUGUAUAUGGAUUACUGCGCCUGAGUAUGGGAGAUGCCAUACGGCUAGUGUUAAACCAUCAGCCAGAGAGUGAGCUGGCACUGAAGUUAAAGUGGCAUCUUCACAAAGGACUGACUGUACCUGAUGAACUGGCUGUCCAGGCUCUAGAUGUGUCUCUGAUGAAUCACGUGUGUCAUACCACUGGAGUUGUAAUUGAUGGAUAUCCUGUAUCAAGAAAACAAGUAAACCUCUUGGAAUCAGCUAGGAUAAUUCCACUGAAAAUCUUUGAAUUAGAAAUGGAUGCAAAGGAAGUGUUCAGAAGAGCACUGUUGGACAAGGAAAGCACGAAUAGACCUCCCUACCCUGAGCAUGACAGCUCACAGAUUCUAGCUAUUAAAAAUUCCUUCUAUAAACAACACAUUGAUGCAAUUAGGACUUACUAUAAGAAGGAGCAUCAGAACUGGUGUGUGAUUGAUGCCUUUCGAAGCAAGUGGUGGAUGUGGAACAAAGUACUGCAGGAAGUUCAAGUGGCUGUUAAAGAAAUCCAGAUAUACCUGGAAAGAAUAAGAGAAGGAAAAGCAGCUGGCAUUGCUGAUUUAUGCAUCACUCCCGAGGAGCUGCAGUAUCGGCUGGGGGAGUUUGGACAGUACUGUCCCGUCAGCCUUGCAGAAAAGGGUGAACUGGUUGACUGCUCUGUAACGUCGUCGUUGCAGUUUGCUGCAGAAUUUCGAGGACACUAUUACAAAAUGGCUUCACAGGAAGAACUGGACAAAUUCUUGAGCAGACCAGAGGUUUAUGUGCCACCACUGGCACCUCACCCUCUCCCACUCCCAGAUAUGCUACCAAAGAAACUGACUGCGGCAGAAGUGAAGGCCUUAUUCCCUAUAAGUGCUGAAAUGCAGGGAUACUGUCCAGUCACUUACCUAGAUGGAAAACAGAGAUACGAAGCUUUGGUGUCUGGCAACAUUCAGUAUGCAGCAAAAUAUCGAGAUAAGCUAUAUAUUUUUGAAAGUGAAGAAAAGCUUCUGAAGUUUAUGAGGUUACCAGAGAAGUACUGGAAUCUGAAGCUUCCAUGUAAACUCCCUCCGAUAAAGGAGCCAAUGCUGCUCACUGCACUUCCGUUAGCUGGAUACCUUGAACAGGCCAGUUUUUGCUUUUCUAUUUCAGUGUGUGACUUUGCAAUGUAUAGUAUAUCCCACUCAGUUUAUUUCAUUUUUAAUGCGUGUCUUAUGGGAUUAUAUUAAUGGGUCUUAAUGGGAUUAUAUUAAAUUGAAAAUUGUGUACUUGCAACUAAAAGGAAUUUUUUAAAAGCUUUAAAAUAAUAGGUAUUUGUAGCAUUAAUGGAAAAAAUAUAAGUAAGACCAUCAGAGGGGAAUAAUAAACUACAAUAUUAUAUGAUGGAUUUUCUGACUCUUUUGUUUAUCAGAUCUUGUAAGAUUACAUUUUGCUUUGGUGUUUAACACCAUGAUAGACACAAGCUUAUCUGGAAUCAUUUAAGGAUAAUUGGUUACAUUCUGAGGCAUGAAUAUGAAAUAAAAAAAAAUUAUUCAUGGUCACUUCCCCCCCCAUUUUAUACUAUUUGUUAACUUCUACAAUUCAAUAGCUUAGGUAUCAUCCAUCCUAUAUUGUUAGAUUUGCAGGAUCACCCUUUGAAUAUAUUUUUGUUCUUGAUUUCUGUAAUGGUUUUAUAAAACUGUUUUCUUUCUUUAGGGAGUAGCAACUUCUCUAAUAAAAGCUCUGCAUGAAGUAGGCUGCUUAAAGCCAAAGUUUCCAUUCCUAAGUGUAAAAAAAACUGCUCUGCUGUUUGUCGCCUGCCAUUUAAAAGGCCACAAUCCCCGGAGUCCGGCGCCGGCACGGCAGGCCUACCAGAGGAAGCUGGGGCACUUCAUGGAGCAAUGCCGCCUCCUCCCCUACCUGGCGGCAGCCAUGGCUGGACCCUACCGGCAGCCGGGACUGAGGCCCCCCGGCUUCGACGGCCGGCUGCGGGCUUUCCUCUCCCUCAAGGGCGCCAGCCCCGGCCUGCCAUAGCGCAGGCCGCAGGUUCUCCUUCACCCUCCCGGUGUGUACUUUCCAUCAUCCUGCCGCGGCGUGGCCGCUGAACGACGCCGCCCUCCC